rnacentral:rRNA from 1 species
AUGCAAGUGUCAGAACAUGGUGUCAAGACCAGCAAACGCGUUCAUGUUAGUGUUGUCCCUCGUCUUCCCAAGAAGCCCAAGAUUGCGGAAACAAUUUCAGAUUUCAGGAUCUAUGUCCAGGAGGCUAUUGAACGGUAUGACAGAUAUAAUCUCCAUUGUUGCAGCAACUUGAGGAGACGUACAUUCUUGUCCACUGGCCAUAUGCUUCCAAUGCACUAUGAAGAAACCAAUGAUCACGUUGUAAUUGAUGGCCGGAUGAAUGAGUUUAUCGACUCACUGGUGGCAGAUCAGCAGCAGCUCAAGGUGGUAUCUGUCCUUGGAUUUGGAUGUCUGGGUAAAACUACACUUGCCAAAGUGUUGUACAACAGAAUUGGGAUGCAAUUUGAUUGCAGAGCUUUCAUUCGAGUGUCCAAAAAGCCGGAUAUGCAGAUACUUUUCUGCGACUUGUUCUCGCAACUCCACCAGAAGAAGCGGCCAAUACAUGCCAAUUCUAAUGAGCUUGGCAUCAGCGACAUUAAUAUCAGCAAACAUCUGCAAGAUAAAAGGUACCUAAUUAUUAUUGAUGAUUUGUGGGACGCAUCAGCAUGGGAUAUUAUCAAAUAUGCUUUUCCAAAUGGAAACCGUGGCAGCAGAAUAAUAAUAACUACACAGAUUGAAGAUGUUGCAUUAACAUGUUGCUGUGAUCACUCAGAACAUGUUUUCAUGAUGAAACCUCUUGAUGACGAUCACUCAAGAAAGCUGUUCUUUAACAGACUUUUUGGUUCUGGAAGUGACUGCCCUGAAGAAUUUAAACAAGUUUCAAAUGAAAUUGUUGAUGUAUGUGGUGGUUUGCCGCUAGCUAUGAUCAACAUAGCUAGUCAUUUGGCAAAUCAACAGACAGCAGUAUCACUGGAUUUUCUGACAUACAUACGUGAUUCGUUGAGGUCACAAUCGUGGUCAAGUUCUACUUCGGAAAGAACAAGACAAGUACUGAACCUCAGCUACAAUAAUCUUCCUCAUCAUCUGAAGACAUGUUUGUUGUAUCUUCAUAUGUAUCCAGAGGGCUCCAUAGUCUGGAAGGAUGAUCUGGUGAAGCAAUGGGUGGCUGAAGCCUUCAUCAAUACACGAAAAGGGAAAGAAAAAGAUCAAAACUGGAUGGAGAAAGCUGCAGGAAUCUAUUUCGAUGAACUUAUUGAUAGAAGAUUCAUCCAACCUCUAAAUAUCAACUACAACAAUAAGGUGUUGUCCUGUACUGUUCAUGAAGUGGUACGUGAUCUUCUUGCACACAAGUCUGCAGAAGAGAAUUUCAUUGUGGUAGUAGAUUAUAAUCGAAAGAAUAUAUCACUUUCUCAUAAGGCCCGUCGGCUAUCUCUCCUCUUUGCCACUGCAAGGUAUGCCAAGACACCAGUAAACAUCACAAAGCCGCAAGUUCGGUCACUUAAUUUUGUUGGAUUGUUCGAGUGCAUGCCUUGUAUUGGAGAGUUCAAGGUUCUCCGUGUUCUGAACCUUCAACUAUCCGGUCAUUGUGGCGACCAUGACCCCAUAGACCUCACUGGGAUUUCAGAACUGUUUCAGUUGAGAUAUUUGAAGAUUACAAGUGAUGUGUGCAUAAAACUACCAAACCAAAUGCGAAAGCUGCAAUGUUUGGAAACGCUGGAUAUUAUAGAUGCACCAAGAGUCACUGCUAUCCCAUGGGAUAUUAUAUAUCUCCCACACUUGUUGCACCUAACCCUUCCUGUUGACACAAAUCUGCUGGAUUGGAUUGGCAGCAUGACUGACUCCAUCAUCAGUCUGUGGAGCCUUGGCAACCUGAACUACCUGCAAGAUCUUUAUCUUACCAUUUCUUCUACACAUCCUUCUGGCCAUCCAGAGAAAAACAUGGAAGCUCUGGGUUCUUUACUAGGAGGACAUGGCAACCUGAAAAUUAUAGUAGUGUCUCAUGGCCCAUCGGUUAAAGGUGCCUCAAAAGUAAUCAUUUCCUGGGAUGAGUUGGAACCUCUCCCACUUCUCCAGAGAUUUGAAUGCUCACCGCACAGCUGCGUCAUAUUUUCCCGAAUUCCUAAGUGGGUUAAAAAACUUGGUAACUUGUGCAUUCUGAAGAUUGCAGUGGUGGAACUGCAGAUGAGUUGUGUUGAUAUUCUCAGAGGAUUGCCUGCCCUUACUGCUCUGUCGCUGUAUGUGCGGUGCGCGCCUGCUCAAAGGAUCCUCUUUGACAAGAUGGCCGGGUUCUCAGUUCUCAAGUACUUCAAGUUGAGGUUCACGAGUGGUAUCCCAUGGCUGAAAUUUGAGGCGGAUGCAAUGCCUAAUCUCUGGAAGCUGAAGCUGGGUUUCAAUGCAAUCCCCCGAAUGGACCAACAUCAACUAAUCCGCAUCGAGCAUAUGCCAGACCUUAAAGAGAUCUCUGUAAAAUUUGGGGGUAUAGCUGCUCUUAUAGAGUAUGCCGUGAAGACGGUCAUUAGUAAUCAUCUGAGAAAUCCUAGAGUCCAUGUGUGUUUGGUGACUUCUACUUCCUAUGGUGAUGAAAGCACAAAAGAGAAACCUCCCACCAACUCGGCGGUCGAG